AGAAAAGCUCAAAAAGUUUAGCAAACAUACACCAGUUACAAAAUUAGGCAUAAAUCUUGGAGCCGCUGGACCCUCAAUAGUACUCUGAAGUACUUUGUUCCUUUGUCUGCUUAAGUGAGACAUAUGUCACCAUCAAUAUUGCUAUCCCUAAAAAUAUACUGCUCCAUUACCUCCCUGAUGAAGGAAGAAGAAAACACAUGCCUUUCCUUCAGCAACAGGCCUCCUGACAGAUUCCAGCUGUCCUGCUUUGACGGAAGCUUUCAAGGAUCAAAGAAAAGAUCAAACUGGAACUGGAAAUAAACGUCUCAGUGUUUUUAUACUCCCUUCAUCUUGAUUUCAUAGGGGUGUAACUGAUGAAAUCUGAGGCAAACCAGACAGGAGUCAGCCCAAACACACGGAUUUUAAUCCUCUUUCUGAAUUUUACUUUCUGUUGCCUACUGGAACUGGUCCUGGAAUGCAGGCAGGGCUCCUGAGUCUAUCUGUUCCUGGUGAAUUCUGCUCAUCUGUUGAAAAUUAAACUGUCCUAUUCAGACACUG